GGGGAUUUGGUGUAAUGGACGCGCGAGAAAUUUAAAUAACAACCCUCUUCUUAAUACAUCUCUCGUAUCCAGGUUCGAUUCCUGGAAUCCCCA
rnacentral:tRNA from 1 species